rnacentral:rRNA from 2 species
GGGUUGUGAGGUUAAGCGACUAAGCGUACACGGUGGAUGCCCUGGCAGUCAGAGGCGAUGAAGGACGUGCUAAUCUGCGAUAAGCGUCGGUAAGGUGAUAUGAACCGUUAUAACCGGCGAUUUCCGAAUGGGGAAACCCAGUGUGUUUCGACACACUAUCAUUAACUGAAUCCAUAGGUUAAUGAGGCGAACCGGGGGAACUGAAACAUCUAAGUACCCCGAGGAAAAGAAAUCAACCGAGAUUCCCCCAGUAGCGGCGAGCGAACGGGGAGCAGCCCAGAGCCUGAAUCAGUGUGUGUGUUAGUGGAAGCGUCUGGAAAGGCGCGCGAUACAGGGUGACAGCCCCGUACACAAAAAUGCACAUACUGUGAGCUCGAUGAGUAGGGCGGGACACGUGGUAUCCUGUCUGAAUAUGGGGGGACCAUCCUCCAAGGCUAAAUACUCCUGACUGACCGAUAGUGAACCAGUACCGUGAGGGAAAGGCGAAAAGAACCCCGGCGAGGGGAGUGAAAAAGAACCUGAAACCGUGUACGUACAAGCAGUGGGAGCACGCUUAGGCGUGUGACUGCGUACCUUUUGUAUAAUGGGUCAGCGACUUAUAUUCUGUAGCAAGGUUAACCGAAUAGGGGAGCCGAAGGGAAACCGAGUCUUAACUGGGCGUUAAGUUGCAGGGUAUAGACCCGAAACCCGGUGAUCUAGCCAUGGGCAGGUUGAAGGUUGGGUAACACUAACUGGAGGACCGAACCGACUAAUGUUGAAAAAUUAGCGGAUGACUUGUGGCUGGGGGUGAAAGGCCAAUCAAACCGGGAGAUAGCUGGUUCUCCCCGAAAGCUAUUUAGGUAGCGCCUCGUGAAUUCAUCUCCGGGGGUAGAGCACUGUUUCGGCAAGGGGGUCAUCCCGACUUACCAACCCGAUGCAAACUGCGAAUACCGGAGAAUGUUAUCACGGGAGACACACGGCGGGUGCUAACGUCCGUCGUGAAGAGGGAAACAACCCAGACCGCCAGCUAAGGUCCCAAAGUCAUGGUUAAGUGGGAAACGAUGUGGGAAGGCCCAGACAGCCAGGAUGUUGGCUUAGAAGCAGCCAUCAUUUAAAGAAAGCGUAAUAGCUCACUGGUCGAGUCGGCCUGCGCGGAAGAUGUAACGGGGCUAAACCAUGCACCGAAGCUGCGGCAGCGACACUAUGUGUUGUUGGGUAGGGGAGCGUUCUGUAAGCCUGUGAAGGUGUACUGUGAGGUAUGCUGGAGGUAUCAGAAGUGCGAAUGCUGACAUAAGUAACGAUAAAGCGGGUGAAAAGCCCGCUCGCCGGAAGACCAAGGGUUCCUGUCCAACGUUAAUCGGGGCAGGGUGAGUCGACCCCUAAGGCGAGGCCGAAAGGCGUAGUCGAUGGGAAACAGGUUAAUAUUCCUGUACUUGGUGUUACUGCGAAGGGGGGACGGAGAAGGCUAUGUUGGCCGGGCGACGGUUGUCCCGGUUUAAGCGUGUAGGCUGGUUUUCCAGGCAAAUCCGGAAAAUCAAGGCUGAGGCGUGAUGACGAGGCACUACGGUGCUGAAGCAACAAAUGCCCUGCUUCCAGGAAAAGCCUCUAAGCAUCAGGUAACAUCAAAUCGUACCCCAAACCGACACAGGUGGUCAGGUAGAGAAUACCAAGGCGCUUGAGAGAACUCGGGUGAAGGAACUAGGCAAAAUGGUGCCGUAACUUCGGGAGAAGGCACGCUGAUAUGUAGGUGAAGUCCCUCGCGGAUGGAGCUGAAAUCAGUCGAAGAUACCAGCUGGCUGCAACUGUUUAUUAAAAACACAGCACUGUGCAAACACGAAAGUGGACGUAUACGGUGUGACGCCUGCCCGGUGCCGGAAGGUUAAUUGAUGGGGUCAGCGCAAGCGAAGCUCUUGAUCGAAGCCCCGGUAAACGGCGGCCGUAACUAUAACGGUCCUAAGGUAGCGAAAUUCCUUGUCGGGUAAGUUCCGACCUGCACGAAUGGCGUAAUGAUGGCCAGGCUGUCUCCACCCGAGACUCAGUGAAAUUGAACUCGCUGUGAAGAUGCAGUGUACCCGCGGCAAGACGGAAAGACCCCGUGAACCUUUACUAUAGCUUGACACUGAACAUUGAGCCUUGAUGUGUAGGAUAGGUGGGAGGCUUUGAAGUGUGGACGCCAGUCUGCAUGGAGCCGACCUUGAAAUACCACCCUUUAAUGUUUGAUGUUCUAACGUUGACCCGUGAUCCGGGUUGCGGACAGUGUCUGGUGGGUAGUUUGACUGGGGCGGUCUCCUCCUAAAGAGUAACGGAGGAGCACGAAGGUUGGCUAAUCCUGGUCGGACAUCAGGAGGUUAGUGCAAUGGCAUAAGCCAGCUUGACUGCGAGCGUGACGGCGCGAGCAGGUGCGAAAGCAGGUCAUAGUGAUCCGGUGGUUCUGAAUGGAAGGGCCAUCGCUCAACGGAUAAAAGGUACUCCGGGGAUAACAGGCUGAUACCGCCCAAGAGUUCAUAUCGACGGCGGUGUUUGGCACCUCGAUGUCGGCUCAUCACAUCCUGGGGCUGAAGUAGGUCCCAAGGGUAUGGCUGUUCGCCAUUUAAAGUGGUACGCGAGCUGGGUUUAGAACGUCGUGAGACAGUUCGGUCCCUAUCUGCCGUGGGCGCUGGAGAACUGAGGGGGGCUGCUCCUAGUACGAGAGGACCGGAGUGGACGCAUCACUGGUGUUCGGGUUGUCAUGCCAAUGGCACUGCCCGGUAGCUAAAUGCGGAAGAGAUAAGUGCUGAAAGCAUCUAAGCACGAAACUUGCCCCGAGAUGAGUUCUCCCUGACUCCUUGAGAGUCCUGAAGGAACGUUGAAGACGACGACGUUGAUAGGCCGGGUGUGUAAGCGCAGCGAUGCGUUGAGCUAACCGGUACUAAUGAACCGUGAGGCUUAACCUUACAACGCCGAAGCUGUU